UACGUAGGUGGCGAGCGUUGUCCGGAUUUACUGGGCGUAAAGAGCGCGCAGGCGGUCGUUCAAGUCGCGUGUGAAAGCCCCCGGCUCAACUGGGGAGGGUCACGCGAUACUGAUCGACUCGAAGGCAGGAGAGGGAAGUGGAAUUCCCGGUGUAGUGGUGAAAUGCGUAGAUAUCCGGAGGAACACCGGUGGCGAAGGCGGCUUCCUGGACCGAUACUGACGCUGAGGCGCGAAAGCUAGGGGAGCAAACGGG
rnacentral:rRNA from 1 species